GGGAAGAAAGACCUGACAUGUGGGCCCCACCUGUCAGCGUCUGCAGGCACGCGCGCGCGGACCGAGCGGGCUCGGGUGCGGUCGGGCGCGGUCGGUUCUGGGCUAGUUCGGCCCAAGUGGUCGGGCCGGUCCGGAUUCCCUUUUUUUUCCUUUUCUUUUUCCCUUUUCCUUAAUUCUUUGAUAUCUUUUGAUUUUGAACUCAAAAUAAAUUCCAGAAAAUUUGUAAAAUCAUGUUUUAUCAUGAUUCAACUUUUGGGAGUCAUUUCCCUUCAAAAUAAAAUAUAUAAAAUACAUUUUCCCUAUAAAUGUCUUUAGGGCUAUAUAAUUAUUUAAUAAAAUACUUUUUCAACUCCAAAUAAUUAUCCAAAAAUUAUGGGAUAGCUCAUGUAUGCAAUAGAUCCCAUUUAUAGUUAAACCCUAUUGGUUUGAAGAUUCAAAACUCAAAUGGGUGUAAACCCUAGGGUUUAAAUUGAAAUAAAAUAUUUUCAAAGACUUUUGAGUUUCAAAUUUGAAUUCAAAUAUGCAAUUGUGGCAUGAUGCUUAUGGAUGCUAUGCACAUGUAAAAGUUUGAAAUUUUUGGGAUGUUACAGUGCUGGGCUAACUGGGAGGUACACAAGCACUAAAUAUGUUUUUUUUCUUCCAUGUUUGUUGGUAGUUUCAAGAUCUAAGCUGCCAAAAUCUGGUUUGCUGCUAUCAUCUUAACUGUAAAAAACUUGCAGCGAAAAAAGGAUCAUACCUUAUGGUUGGAGAUGGAUUGAUUGGUGAGACGCAGGGACUGGGGGCGUGGAUUGUUGCUGGAAAGCAGAUGAUGGAUAUCUCUUCCUGGGGUGGGCUAGGCGAGCGUGGGGCGAGGGAAGGAAAGUGCCUGAUCGAUCUCUUCCUGGGGUAUUUUGGGUGGUACCUAAACUGAUACGGGUUAUGUAUACAUGCGCGCGUCCGCUUAUGGUCGCUGCCGUAUUGGAUUCAGUUACGUGAUUAUUGUAUAUGGCAGUUCCUGCCUGAUCUAGAUCGAUCGGAAGAACCUGGUAGGCG
rnacentral:lncRNA from 1 species